rnacentral:lncRNA from 1 species
UGUAUUUUUUUUUCCGAAGGAGACAAGAAUUCGAACUUGAUUUUUUUGUGAUUGUAGUUUUGCAAUAAAUGUAUUUUUUUUCCGAAGGAGACAGGAAUUCGAACUUGAUUUUUUGUGAUUGUUAUAAUAUUUUGUUGAUCUUAAGAGGGGUUGAACAGAGAGAGGGUGAGACGUGUCGCUUAAUCUCAGGAGAAGGUUUUUAUAAUUGUAGGGGUCUGAGAAUAUUCACAAUCAUCAACUACAAGUGAUUUGAAAGCAGGUCUUAUAAUUUUAUUAUUCAAAUA